rnacentral:misc_RNA from 1 species
AACUUUCGGCAACGGAUCACUUGGCUCUCGCAUCGAUGAAGAACGCAGCGAAAUGCGAGAAGUAAUGUGAAUUGCAGAAGUCAGUGAAUCAUCGAAUCUUUGAACGCACCUUGCGCCCUUUGGCUAUUCCGAAGGGCAUGCCUGUUUGAGUAUCAUGAACACCUCAACUCUCGUGGUUCGCCAUGACGAGCUUGGACUCUGGGGGUCUUGCUGUCCUGCAGUCAGCUCCCCUCAAACGGAUCAGCUAUCCAGUGUUUGGCAGCGUCACAGGUGUGAUAAGUAUCUACGCUUGUGGUUUUCUGCCAAGUAACCUUCAGCGAUGGAGGUUCGCUGGGGCUCAUAAAUGUCUCUCCUCCGUGAAGACAGCUUUGUGAAUGUUUGAUCUCAAAUCAGGUAGGACUACCCGCUGAACUUAAGCAUAUCAAAAGCGGAGGCU